UUAAUAGAAAGGUCUAGAAAUAGACUGGAGAGCUCAGAAAAGGGCAGAGAAUUGGGUAGCUAAAGCUCCAGACACGGAUUUAUAAGUAUGAACUAUCUCAUGAGGACUUUGCCAACAGCAAAUGGCAGACAGGUUCCUCCCUGACUCAAACUGCACAUUUGGGCCGAGAAGCCUAUUCUGAGAGACCCCUGCUGUGGAGAGGAGGGAAUACAGCUCUCUGUUCCAGGAGUGGUUUCUCUGGUUGUGGAGCAUGAACUCUAGAGUGCCCAAGCUUCGGUAAUUGUGGCCUUUGGGCUUAGCUGCCCUGCAGCAUGUGGAAUCUUCCUGGGUGAGGUAUUGAACCGUGUCCCCUGCAUUGGCAGGUGGAUUCUUAACCACUGGACCUCCAGAGAAGUCCCACACCAGUUCGUUUUUUCUACCUAUCUUGAGAGAAGAUGAAUCUUGUGGACAUCAGGGAGAAGAUAAACCAUUGGCUUCUCAACUUCCAGCACUUUUCAUCCUGUGGGCAGCCAGGAGAUCUUGUGCAGUAGAGAUGGGAGCAGAUGGUAUCUUAACACUUGGACAAAGGAUGCUGACCACAGAUCUCACUCAUGGGCCUGCGUGAAUCCUGUACCACCACCAUCAUUAAAGUUUCUCUCCAUUGAAGCCCUCUGUGGGACAAGACACAUCUCAAAGCUUCUCUCUGCUUCUUCUGCAUCUCAAGUAAAUGACCUAGAAGUUUUCUGUAGCAAGAUUGUGUAUGUAUGUGUGUGUGCUCAGCCACUCUAUCAUGUCUUCCUGUCUGAAUCUUUGUGACCCCAUGGACUGUAUGUAGCCCGCCAGGCUCUUCUGUCCAUGGGAUUUUCCUGGCAAGAAUGCUAGAGUGAAUCUUCCCCACCCAGAGGAUCAAACCCAAGUCUGUCGAAUCUCCUACAUUGGCAAGUAGAUUCUUUACUACUCUGCCACCUGGGAAGCCCCGUAACAAGACUGUACUGGGUUGAAUAGUGAUUUGCAAAAAUUCAUGACUAUCUGGAACCUUCAAGUGUGACCUUAUUUGGAAAUGGGGCCUUCGCAGAUAUAAUUAGUCAAGAAGAGGUGAUACUGGUGUAGGGUGGUCCCUAAAUUCAGUUACUGGGGUCCUUAUAAGAAGAGAAGGGCUUCCCUGAUGGCUGCUGGUAUAGAAUCCGCCUGCAAUGCGGGAGAUCUGGGUUUGAUCCCUGGAUUGGGAACUCCAUGGACUAUUCCAUGGGGUCACAAAGAGUCGGACACGACUGAGUGACUUUCACUUUCACUAUAAGAAGAGAAGGGGCCUCCACAGAGUCAGAGUGGAGAAAGCUGUGUGAAGACAGAGGCAGAGAAUGGAGUGAUGCUGCCAUAAGUCAAGGAAUGUCUGAAGCCACCAGAAGCUGCCAGAAGUGAAGGAUUCUUUCCUAGAGGCUUCACAGGGCCGUGGCUGUCCCAGCAUCUCAAUUUUGGGCUUCCGGCAUCCAGAACCACAAGAGAACACAUUUCUGUUGUUUAAGCCCCUCCCGUUUUUGUUUAUCUGCUACAGAAGCCCAGGAAACAAACACCAAGAGGUUCAUGGGGCUUUCCUGUUGCCCACCCAGCCUUUCACCAGCCACCACCCAGCAUCUCGUCUCAGUGUUUCUAAUAAACCUGGAGAGGGAAGAAGGAAGACAUAAGAGAUCAUACCUCUCACCAUGAAGACAAGUGAGACGACCCAGGGAAGUACUAAAAGAUUGGAGACGCCCCAAACAAAGGGAGACUUGCCUUCCCCAGCUGGACAUUGGCUUAAGAAGUGGACUCACUGAUUCACCUCUGAGAGACAUGGGAGGGGAGGCAGAGGUUGGAUGUGG